rnacentral:rRNA from 1 species
GAUGAACGCUGGCGGCGUGCUUAACACAUGCAAGUCGAACGGUGAAGCAGAGCUUGCUCUGUGGAUCAGUGGCGAACGGGUGAGUAACACGUGAGCAACCUGCCCCCGACUCUGGGAUAAGCGCUGGAAACGGCGUCUAAUACUGGAUAUGAGCUGCGACCGCAUGGUCAGCGGUUGGAAAGAUUUUUCGGUCUGGGAUGGGCUCACGGCCUAUCAGCUUGUUGGUGAGGUAAUGGCUCACUAAGGCGUCGACGGGUAGCCGGCCUGAGAGGGUGACCGGCCACACUGGGACUGAGACACGGCCCAGACUCCUACGGGAGGCAGCAGUGGGGAAUAUUGCACAAUGGGCGAAAGCCUGAUGCAGCAACGCCGCGUGAGGGAUGACGGCCUUCGGGUUGUAAACCUCUUUUAGCAGGGAAGAAGCGAAAGUGACGGUACCUGCAGAAAAAGCGCCGGCUAACUACGUG